UACGUAGGGCGCAAGCGUUGUCCGGAAUUAUUGGGCGUAAAGAGCUCGUAGGCGGCUUGUCACGUCGGGUGUGAAAGCCCGGGGCUUAACCCCGGGUCUGCAUUCGAUACGGGCUGGCUAGAGUGUGGUAGGGGAGAUCGGAAUUCCUGGUGUAGCGGUGAAAUGCGCAGAUAUCAGGAGGAACACCGGUGGCGAAGGCGGAUCUCUGGGCCGAUACUGACGCUGAGGAGCGAAAGCGUGGGGAGCAAACAGG
rnacentral:rRNA from 1 species